rnacentral:lncRNA from 1 species
AGGUGGUGAUUCCUUUGGCUGCGGUUGUGGGGCUUGGUUUUGCUUUGCUGCAGUGGUUUUUGGUGUCAAAGGUGAAGGUCUCUGGCGGGCAUGGUGAGCGAAAUGGGUUCAAGGACAAGCUCAUUGGAGAUGAAGAAGAGGGUGUUAGCUCCGUUGAGGUUACCAUCAAGUGUGCUGAGAUUCAACAUGCCAUUUCCAUAGGUAAUCUCUCUCUCUCUCUCUCUUUCUCUCUCUCUCUCUCUCUCUCUAAAUUUACUCGUUUCCCAUUUCAUACCUCUACAAGCUGCAUCCUAACAUGUCAACUAGGCUUUUUUUUUUAAUCAAUCAUGUUGUUGUGACUAUUUAGAAUUUCGUCGCUAAAGCAUCAUUCUGUUGUAGUGACCAGUGGUCACACCCUAAAAAGAAUGAAAAAAUAUGAUCUUGCUGCACUUUCAAUUUUCUUUCCAGAAGAUGUCAUCGCUAAAGCAUCUUUCUGUUGUUGUGAUUACAUGAUCACAACUGAAAAGACUGCAAAACUGUGUUCUUGCUGCCCUUUUAAUUUUCCUCGCGAAAGAUUUUGUCACUGAAGCAUCAUAUUGCUGUUAUGAUCACUGAUCACUCCCUGCAAGGACUGAGAAAUGAUGUUCUUGCUGCCCUAAUAAUUUUCCUCGCAGAAGAUUUUGUUGUCAAAGCAUCAUUUUGUUGCAGUGAUGACAACCUCAAAGAAUAGAAAAACUAUGUUCUUGCUGCUUUUUGUGACAGUAAAAUUUUCUCUCUGAUUUUGGUUGCUUUAUUUGUCCUCAGUUUCUUUAUUCUUUUGGUUGAUUUUUUUUAUAUUUUUGUUAUAUUUGUAGUUUAUGCAAUUUUUGGUGCUGUUAAAUCUAACUUUUGGUUCGUAUAAUGUUCCUAGGGGCGACCUCUUUUCUGUUCACCCAAUACAGAUACCUCAGCAUUUUCGUCGGUGUUUUUAGCACCAUAAUCUUCCUCUUCCUUGGCUCAGUGAAGGGUUUUAGCACUAAAAGCGAAG